rnacentral:rRNA from 1 species
CCUGGCUCAGGACGAACGCUGGCGGCGUGCGUAAUACAUGCAAGUCGAGCGGACCUUCGGGUCAGCGGCGGACGGGUGAGGAACACGUGAGUGAUCGGGCUGUGAGUGGGGGAUAUCGGGCCGAAAGGCGCGGCAAUCCCGCAUACGUUCCGGGGAACCGGAAGAAAGCUUGGCAACAGGCGCUCACAGGGGAGCUCGCGGCCCAUUAGCUAGUUGGGGGGGUAAUGGCCUCCCAAGGCGACGAUGGGUAGCCGGCCUGAGAGGGUGAACGGCCACACUGGGACUGAGACACGGCCCAGACUCCUACGGGAGGCAGCAGUAGGGAAUCUUCCACAAUGGGCGCAAGCCUGAUGGAGCAACGCCGCGUGAGUGAAGACGGCCUUCGGGUUGUAAAGCUCUGUCUGUCGGGACGAAGACCGGCCCGGAAGGGCCGGGGAGCCGGUACCGACGGAGGAAGCCCCUGCAAACUACGUGCCAGCAGCCGCGGUAAGACGUAGGGGGCAAGCGUUGUCCGGAAUUACUGGGCGUAAAGGGCGUGUAGGCGGUGCGAUACGUAGCGGUUUUAAGCCUCCGGCUCACCCGGAGGAGGGCGGCUAAACGGUCGCGCUAGAGGGCAGGAGAGGUGCGUGGAAUUCCUGGUGGAGCGGUGAAAUGCGUAGAGAUCAGGAAGAACACCCGUGGCGAAGGCGGUGCACUGGCCUGGCCCUGACGCUGAGGCGCGACAGCGUGGGGAGCGAACGGGAUUAGAUACCCCGGUAGUCCACGCCGUAAACGAUGGGUACUAGGUGUCCGCCGGGUCCACCGGGCGGUGCCGGAGCUAACGCACUAAGUACCCCGCCUGGGGAGUACGGCCGCAAGGUUGAAACUCAAAGGAAUUGACGGGGGCCCGCACAAGCAGUGGAGCAUGUGGUUUAAUUCGACGCA